GGAAGGUCCCUUCUGUAGACAGUCACGCACUUGAGCCGCACUCUGGCAAUCGCGGCAAGGACCUCUGGGGCGACAGCAUUUGGCCCCCUUCCUCCCAGGUGCCCGCAAUGGAACAGGCAUGUCUGUGGUCAGAACCUCGGGAGAAGGCUGAGGAGGGCGUGUCGCCCUCACUGGUGACACUGGUGGCCUGGUGACUGGGUUCCACUCCACGUUGUCACAGCUCCUGCUUCCCCAGGACCUCGCGCACUCUGGAAGACCGUGCACCUAUAGGAUGGAAGCAGCUCCUGCCCUGACUUCAGAACACAGUCCAAAUACCACAGUGCCCUGGAGGUGCCCGGUGGAAUCAGCCAGCCCCUCUUCUGGGUUCCCCUGUCCCCUGGACAUCCCCCAAGCCCAGAGCUCUGCACUGGGCGGCCAGUAACAACUCCAGACCCUUCUAGGACAGAGGCCAUGGUCAUGAUAGUCUCUGUGUUCCCAGUACUCAUCACCUUGGAGGGCAGAAGGAUGCUGGUCAGCUGCUCUGUGGGGACAUACAAGGAAGUCAAGAAUUCAUCUGAACAGCCACUCCCUCCCCCUCCAACUGACCUGGACACGCUGGCUUGGAUCAGGCCACCUGGAGGAGGAAUGCUGGCUCCCCCUGCCCCUGCCACCCUGCACUGCCCUCAGGUGGCCCUGAGAGAUGCCUGAGACAGCUCAAGAUGGUGCUGGGUGGGUCCAGAUCCCACCCCUGCCCCAGUCGUCAAGUCCUAAACGCAGCCCAUCCAUUUACUCUCCCAGCCCCUCCCCAAGGGCUGUUGUGGAGAUCGAAUGAAUCGACGUAGGUGAAGUUCUAGAAAGUUCCUGUCACGUGGACUGAUCUGUGCACACGGCCCCUGGGAACAAAAGAAUGAGUGAGACAAGGCAGUACCAGCUCCUCCUGCAGGACAGUCCUCCAUCCCGGCCCCACGGAGCCCUCCAGGGGCCAACUGCUCUCCUGCUGCACCCUGCAAGGAAUUAUAAUGAGGCUCCUGGAGGAAGCUGCUGCCAGAGCAGAAGCUGGCGAAGCCUUCCCAACAUCAGAGGCCCUGCCAGGGUCCCUGGCACAGCAACUGCCACAGAGCGUGACCCGUCACGGAAAGCACUUCAUCUUCAUUUUAAUUAAACUUCAGGGGUGAGGCAGGCAGCCGUGGGUCCCAGGGAGCUACGCAGCCCUGAUCCUGCGAGGCCCAGGUUUGCCAAUGGAGACAAGCCAAGCAGACCCGGCACCCACCAGCCCAGCUAGAGCCUCGGAUUCCUUUCCUCACACAAAGGUGACAUCUUCCUUUCCUCCCAAGGGGAUGAUUCAUCCCUGACCGGAGAUGCUGGGUCUGGAGCGGGGGAGACAGGUGCACGCGCCCCGAGAGGAGGACAAACAGCCUGCUGACAGAGGAGGACGGCGGGGGUGCCCACGACGCCAGAGCUCAAGAUGGAGGUGGAGGCCACGCCAGUCGCCCCCCUGCCCUGCUUCUCAGCCCCUGACCCAUGCCCUCUGCAGUCCCCUCCCUCAACGGGGGUCUAUGUGCCCCACUGAGCGUGGGCCUGGAGAUGCACUGUGUCCAGAAGAGGACAGGGCACGAUGCACAUGCCCCUUUCCCUUGCUCCUCCACCACGACUGAGAGGACGCGCCCAUGCCUGCCUGCAAAGGGUGAGGGAGGAGGGCCAUGUAGCCCACCAGCCCCCACGCAUGAGCUUAGGUGCCAGGCCGUAAGGCGACACCAGGGCAGGCGGCAGUUCACAUGAGAAACCUUAAAUAUAUUCUUCUUCUGAAGCCUGAGUACAUACAGCAAACAGGCAACAGAUGCUUCUUUUGACCAGACGAGACCCUUCUCCCUGCUUGGGCAGAGGCCGGGGCAAACCACACCCCGCAGCCCUGGACGGCUGGCGCUCCUCCCUUCCUUUCCACAGCCCCGGCAGGCGUGCAGAGCUCCUCCAACUCAGCCAGGACGGGACGGUGGCCGUGGGGGUGACAGGCACGCAGGCGGUGGCAGAUCUCAUUCUCAGCGGCAGCCGAAGCCCCAUGGCCGGUGGGUGCACAGGGAGAAGACUUGUAGGCAGACGCUGGGCACCCCCAUUGGGCCUCCCCCCGCCGGGCUCCCUGCACCUCUGCCUCAGGCCACACCACCCUCUUGCCUGGGACAGCCCCUCCUGCUCCCAUCUGGAAGCUGGUUCUCAUCCUUUGAGAUCCCAUCCCCAUUGCCUUUCCAGUGACAUAUGCUGGCUCUUCUCCCUCAGCGACCUGCUGCCCAGCCCGUGCUUGAUCCCAGCUCACAGCACAGCCCCACUGGCUUCUGCUGACCUGUCCCCCCACCUCCCGUGACUACCAAGCCCCUCAUGCACGCCAGCCCACUCAGGUCAGCCCUUUCCGACCCAGCGCGAUGGAAAAGGAGGAGGGGGCCUGGGCCCAGGAGGGUUCCAGUGGGAACGUGGGGUAAACGCAGCCUGGAAAUGUAGGUCAGCAAGCUUAGCAACCCCAAGUCAUCCGACAGCCCCUAUGUUUUUCUAGAAAUUAGUUUUAAAGGAAUGUUACUGUAACAGGAGGAAGCAGUCAGGUCUCACCGACAGGAUAUUAACCGGGUACAGCACAUUUUAUUAAGACUCAUGAGGACUGCAGUUGUCUGCAUCCUCAGAGGGCCUCAUGCUCAGAAGGAAGGUGGCAGGGAAGGGCACUCGGCAGCAGCACCCGCCAGAGCUUUCUGGAGCAGCGAGGCCCACCGGGUGACAGCCAGCGUGGCUGGAGAAGGCCGGUUGAGAGCCGCGCGCCGAGUCCCAUCUGGGUGGGGACACAGCUGUUCUGACCGGCCGACUUAGAUCAACAUGCCUCCAGCAUGCUCUUGUUUGCAGCCACAGCAUGGAUUUGUGAGAAGCUGCUCCCCUGCUUCCAGCACGUACACACAUCUGUACACACGCACACAUGCACAUGGCCCCCACGCCACACAACUGGGGAAGUAGGAGUGAUUAAAGUAUGGGGAAGGGGGAGACUGAGGUGGUGGGAAGACCCAGGGCACAGCGGCAGGUCAGAACUGACUUCCUUCCCCCCCCCGCCGCAGACCCACACUCGCCCCCCCCCCCACCAGAUGGCACCCCCUUCAUUCAGCAGGCCGCAGCCCAAGAGCCUCCCCCCGGGCUGGGCUGGGCGCAUGUGACUUCUUUCCACACCGACGCCCCCUGCACUCCAUGCGUCCACUCCUGAUACCAACACCUGUCCCCCUGCCUCCCAUUGCCUUCCGUGCUUACUGAGCACCACCUGUCCUCAGGGCUAGGCCACCUCCUGGCAUCUGGGGUUCCAGGAGGUCAGCACCGAAGGUCUCCAGCUGCAGGACAGGGACAUUUGGGAUCAGCGGGGUAAGGGCCCUACUCUCAGGGCACAGCUGACGAGUGGCCAGCAGUCCCCUGCUGGGCUUCCUCCUGCAACUUUCCCGGAAGCACAUCCUCCCAUGAUUUCUGAGCAUCUCUCAUCCGGGUGAAUGCCCCUGGCGCCAGGAGUCACAACGACACAGACACCACUGGGUUGGAACCCAUCUCUCAAAACCGAGUAACGAGACUGUUCCCAUGAGGACAAGUCCUCAUCUGUCAUCUGCUGGGGAGUUAUCCCACGUCUGGAAGCAGGACACAGAGGAGUGUUCACGCCCCGGAUCCCUCUCUGCUCUGAACACCUCCCCUCCUUGGUCGUUCUUCAGGGUCGGCUUAGGACAGGCUUGUUCUGGGGCUCUCUUCCCCGUAACUUGCCAUCCCUUCUGUUACCUGCUUGGUUGUCAAUCUGCUUCUAUCAUCGCCUUCCCCCCUUCCUGUUUCUCUUACUGUCUUCCCAGCUCCUGCAUCGCCUGCUUGGGUCACGGGUCUCGGGCAGCUGUGCUAAAUUCCUAACAAACACGUCCGAGACUAUAAAUGACACCCCUCAGAACCAAGUAUGUCAGACAAGCCUGAGUACAUGGUGCCCCCUCAUCUUCCAAUUGAAACACUUGUUAGCAUC